GGUUCGAUCAUGGCUCGUUGAACGCUGGCGGGAUGCUUUACAUGCAAGUCGAACGGCAGCACGGACUUCGGUCUGGUGGCGAGUGGCGAGCGGGUGAGUAAUGUAUCGGAACGUGCCUAGUAGCGGGGGAUAACUACGCGAAAGCGUAACAAUACCACAUAUGCCCUUCGAGGAAAGCGGGGGACGGGCCUCGCUAUUAGAGCGGCCGAUAUCAGUUAGCCGUUGGUGGGGUAACGGCUCACCAAGGCGACGAUCCGUAGCUGGUUUGAGAGGACGACCAGCCACACUGGGACUGAGACGUGAACUCCUACGGAGAGCAGCAGUGGGGAAUUUUGGACAAUGGAAACCUGAUCCAGCCAUCCCGCGUGCGAUGAGGAAGGCCUUCAGUUGUAAAGCACUUUUGGCAGGAAAGAAACAGCACGGGAUAAUACCCCGUGCAACUGACGGUACCUGCAGAAUAAGCACCGGCCCCAACCACGUGCAGCAGCCGCGGUAAUACGUAAAGUGCAAGCGUUAAUCAAAGAUUACUGGGCGUAAAGCGUGCGCGGGCGGGUUCGGAAGAAAGAUGUGAAAUCCCAGGGAACCUUUUGGAACUGCAUUUUUUACUUCCGAGCGCUAGAGUGUGUCAGAGGGAGGUGGAAUUCCGCGUGUAGCAGUGAAAUGCGUAGAUAUGCGGAGGAACACCGAUGGCGAAGGCAGCCUCACCAAAACAGCACUGACGCUCAUGCACGAAAGCGUGGGGAGCAAACCGGGAUUAGAUACCUGGUAGUCACACUUUAAACGUGUCAACUAGCUGUUGAGGGCCUUCGGGCCUUGGUAGCGCAGCUGCGCGUGAAGUUGACCGCCUGGGAAGUACGGUCGCAAGAUUAAAAACUCAAGGAAUUGACGGGGACCCGCACAAGCGGUGGAUGAUGUGGAUUAAUUCGAUGCAACGCGAAAAACCUUACCUACGCGACAUGUCUGGAAUCCCGAAGAGAUUUAAAAGUGCUCGCAAGAGAACGGAACACAGGUGCUGCAUGGCUGUCGUCAGCUCUGUCGUGAGAUGUUAGGUUAAGUCGUCCCCGCAAUGACGCAACCCUUGUCAUUAGUUGCUACGAAAGGGCACUCUAAUGAGACUGCCGGUGACAAACCGGAGGAAGGUGGGGAUGACGUCAAGUCCUCAUGGCCCUUAUGGGUAGAGACUACACGUCAUACAAUGGUCGGGACAGAGGGUCGCCAACCGCGAGGGGGAGCCAAUCCCAGAAACCCGAUCGUAGUCCGGAUCUCGCAGUCUACGCUCGACUGCGUGAAGUCGGAAUCGCUAGUAAUCGCGGAUCAGCAUGUCAUAAUUGAAUACGUUCGGGUCUUGUACACCGCCCGUCACACCAUGGGAGUGGGUUUACCAGAAGUAGUUAGCCUAACCGUAAGGAGGGCGAUUACCACGGUAGGAUUCAUGACUGGGGUGAGGUCGUAACAAGGUAG
rnacentral:rRNA from 1 species